rnacentral:rRNA from 1 species
GAUGAACGCUGGCGGCGUGCUUAACACAUGCAAGUCGAACGAGAAGUGAAGACGGAAACCUUCGGGCGGAAGGCUUUAUUUCGAGUGGCGGACGGGUGAGUAACGCGUGGGUAACCUGCCUCAUACAGGGGGAUAACAGUUGGAAACGACUGUUAAUACCGCAUAAGACCACAGCACCGCAUGGUGCGGGGGUAAAAACUCCGGUGGUAUGAGAUGGACCCGCGUUCGAUUAGCCAGUUGGCGGGGUAACGGCCCACCAAAGCGACGAUCGAUAGCCGAUCUGAGAGGAUGACCGGCCACAUUGGGACUGAGACACGGCCCAAACUCCUACGGGAAGCAGCAGUGGGGAAUAUUGCACAAUAGGGGAAACCCUGAUGCAGCGACGCCGCGUGAGUGAAGAAGUAUUUCGGUAUGUAAAGCUCUAUCAGCAGGGAAGAAAAUGACGGUACCUGAGUAAGAAGCCCCGGCUAACUACGUG